UACGUAGGGUGCAAGCGUUGUCCGGAAUUAUUGGGCGUAAAGAGCUCGUAGGCGGUUUGUCGCGUCGGCUGUGAAAACCUGGGGCUCAACCCCGGGCCUGCAGCCGAUACGGGCAAACUAGAAUUCGGUAGGGGAGACUGGAAUUCCUGGUGUAGCGGUGAAAUGACGCAGAUAUCGGGAGGAACACCGGUGGCGAAGGCGGUUCUCUGGGCCUGUACUGACGCUGAGGAGCGAAAGCGUGGGGAGCGAACAGG
rnacentral:rRNA from 1 species